UGGAGACAACCUCCCUUAGUUUGAGACCUGUUUCUGGCACUUCCUGGCUGUGUCCACUUGGGUUGGGAAACUGAGUUGAAACUGUUUUUGAAGACUUAGCAUGAUGCCUCACAUGUAGUAUAUAUUUAACAACUGAUACCUAUUUUUAUUACUUGGAGAGUCUUUCCCAUAAAAUGACUCCAAGGUAGAAGGUAUUAUCUUAUCAACAUGUAAUCAACAAUGAAAGGCACCAAUGAGG